rnacentral:lncRNA from 1 species
AUACUGCUAUUAUUUGUUUAGGUUUAGGGUGAUCAACUGGCGUAUAGGCAACGUACUAAGGGCUAUACUCCUGAAGAAAUCUUACCCUCUUUCCCUCACCAGCCAUCCCUUGCCAAUAGCUUAACCAAGAGCCUCCUUCAUCCAUGCUGGAAUGCUGCAUGGCUUGUUUGUGCAGGUCUUUUGCAGACAACAGUGUUGCUUUGCAUCCCUGAGAGCAGUUGUCCUGCCAUGUCCAGAAGACACUGUUUAAUCCUGAAGACUCCGGCUCUUAUAGUCUUUCUGUUUCAUCUUCCAUGAUCUUUCUACAGCUGUCAGUCCAGUGGGCAUAUGAUAUAGAUGACUAAUGAAAGGCUGAUUCCUCCUAAGUUACUCACUUUCUAAAACUUUUGUCUGCUUCACUAAGAAGUUGCUUUUGUGAACAAUGACCAUUGCACUAAUUUACGGGGUAUAAGGAUAAGUAUUUAGAAGGCAGUGAAAUACAGUGUGAACUUUUUAAUUCUAAUGGGUUUUCCCAUAGAAUUAAUGACCUCUUCCUCUGUGAGUUCUUUGCUAAGUUUUCAGUACCAGGCGUGAUUUCCCACCUAUUUAAAGGGCCUUAAAUCCAAUCAAAUAGUUGGUUACCCCAAGACAUUUGUGCCAUUAUUAACCAUUGGACUUGUUAGGCCAGUUAUUAUUAUAAUCCACAGAAUUUACAGUUGAGGAUGGCCAUUAAUAGCUUUUCUCCCUCAACAGUCUGUGUAGCACCUUUAACCUUAUGAAAACUAGUCAUUGGGAAGGAGGCUUCCACGUUAGUACCAGUUGUUUAGAGUGUCUAAGAGACCACCACAAAAAAAUAUAAGCUUUUUGCUCUUGAUUGUCUACCAUAACUUGAAGGUAAGGUACAGUUGUUGAAGAUACCAUAUAGUUCUGUUGCAGUACUUGAAGAAGUCAUUUGAACUUUAAAAUAUGAUGUUAUUUGAUUUGUCUUUAAAAUGUUAAUAUUCAAUUUAAAUAAUUAAACAGGAAUUUAUUUUUUCUCUGAGUUUUUGUUCUAUUUUUCUGUGAAACAAACUAUUAUCCAUAUAACUGCUUCAAGCAACAUGAAGUCACUCAUUGUUUCGUAGAUGAGAAAUUUAGCUUAGUGUGGGAGGAUUCUCUGGUUAUGGACUUUAGAUAAGAACCUAGGUCUAGUUUCUAUCUGAACUAUGCAGCAUUGGCUGUAGGACUGAGGUCCAGAGUGGGGCUUCUGGUAUUCUUUGCCUCAUGAUUCAGAGCAAAUUAGGAAGCAUUUUGCUUGUAUGAAAUCCAUCUAGUACUUUAUAUAUGUAACUUGGAGAAGGGUAUGGAGGCUCAUCUGACUAUAGUGGAUUUAAUCAAUAGAGAACUGUUCGAUUUGCACAAAGAGCAACUGAUUAGUAACUUAAUGAUGGCAUGAUAUCCAGUCAUGUGUACAGCCAUUCAUAUUCAAUGGGAGAAUUAAACAAAAUCUUGGGAAUAAGGAAGUACAUCCUAGUAAUCUGUCACUAUAGCAACAAAGUGAUUGAUUUAUAAAGGUAGAAUCAGUGCCAACAGUCACUUGCCUACAUCACAAGGUAUAUUUGUUUGUUUUCAGUUUCAAAUAACUCAAUAAUACAGACUUCACAUGUUGAAAAUAAAAGUAGUUAUUUAUGGUUUACAGUCAGUUCUGGUCCAAAUGUGAGGCCUUAAAUCAAGGAGUAGCCUUCUUGCACAGUAAGUCUUGAAGAAACAAAAGAUAUUGUGUGGAGAGAGACAAGGUCUUAUGCAUGUGUUUGUCUGUUUGUAUAUUUGGCUGUCUGCCUGCUUGGUGGCACUGCUAUUUAAACACGUGGCCUCUCACCUGAUGGUUUUCUUAAUUCUAACCCCCUCAGCAAAAUUCCACCUUUAAAUAUCAUUGUUGGUUUGUGUUUCCAUUCUCUUAAUGCCUGAAAAUGCAUACCUCAGGACAUAGAAACAAAAAUCUAUACUGAUAAUUGAUUGACAUCUUAAUGUAAAAUAGAAGUAACCUAUGUCAAAUACUAUGACAAGAACUGAGCUGUGGCAUCACCAUCUCUCUAUGGCAUUGUCUUGUCCUUAUGGCCUUGUACUUCAGUCCAAUAACACAGGCUUCUUAUCUUGAAUAGCAAUGAGAGGACUAUAUGGACUUAUCCUCAAGGCUCACCUUAUUUUUAACUUUCUAAUUAAUUAAUUAAUUUAAUUAAUCACACAGUAUUGCAAGUUUGAUUGUAUAAUAAUUGCCAUUCUUGAACUGAACUUGACAGAUUUUUAAAUUGACUAAAUGUUUAUGGAUAUAGGAACACAAACAAGACUCCAUGAUUUUCAUCCUGGAAUAUUAGGUCAAUAUUUUUAAGAUCAAGAAAUCUUGUGCAUACAUGCGUGAAAGAACUUAAAGUUGGGUAGGUAGGGAGCAGGGAACUAGAACUUUAGGGAGAGGAAAAAUACCAGGCAAACAUCCAAUAAGAUGGAAGGUUCUUCUUUGGAAGAGCGUUGUGCCAUUCAAAUCUAGAACUCAAAAAUAUUUCAGGAAAAUUAUUUAGUUCAGAUGUUAACAGAAGAGAAAUGUUGGAAUCAGGAAAUUAUAAUAUGGAAGAACACAGAGAAUCAGACCUUUGACCUAAGAAAAAAAAUUUUGUUAUGAAAUAUGUGGGAAAUGGUAUCUUAAGAGAUGAGAGGAGAACACCUGGCCAAGGCAUUUGAAAGAAUAGUUAGAAAAAUUUUAAGGGAAAUGACUCAAUGCUAGCAAAGCCAGUGUUAAAUGAUCUCUUAGUAACCAUUUAUCCCUCAAAAACGUGUUACAAACUAGGAACGGCAGAUUUGCUUUUAUUUCUUGGUGAUAUUAGGGACUGAACACAAAGCCUUUUGCAUGCUAUACAAGCACUAGAUUGUUGACAUGUAUACUCAGCCCUGUUUGCAUGUGUGUGUGUGUUGUGUGUAUGUUCUUGUAUAUGUUCACAUAUGUGUAGAUGUGCAUGUGGAGAUCAGAAGUCAUCAUUGGGUACCUUCCACAACUACUUUCCAUCAUAUGUUUUGUUUUUGUUUUUGUUUUUGUUUUUGAUUAGUAGUAUUUCUUUUCUUUUUUUAAAAUAAUUUAUUUUUUUAAUUAAGUAUUUUCUUCAUUUACAUUUCAAAUGCUAUCCCAGGCUAUACUAAACAAAACUGGAGAACCUGGAUGAAAUGGACAAAUUUCUAGACAGAUACCAGGUACCAAAGUUAAAUCAGGAUCAAAAUAAUGAGCUAAACAGUCCUAUAUCCCCUAAAGAAAUAAAAGCAGUCAUUAAUAGUCUCCC